rnacentral:rRNA from 1 species
CCUACGGGAGGCAGCAGUGGGGAAUAUUGGACAAUGGGGGCAACCCUGAUCCAGCCAUGCCGCGUGUGUGAAGAAGGCCCUCGGGUUGUAAAGCACUUUCAGUGAGGAAGAACGCCUGGUGGUUAAUACCCAUCAGGAAAGACAUCACUCACAGAAGAAGCACCGGCUAACUCCGUGCCAGCAGCCGCGGUAAUACGGAGGGUGCGAGCGUUAAUCGGAAUUACUGGGCGUAAAGCGCGCGUAGGUGGCUUGAUAAGCCGGUUGUGAAAGCCCCGGGCUCAACCUGGGAACGGCAUCCGGAACUGUCAAGCUAGAGUGCAGGAGAGGAAGGUAGAAUUCCCGGUGUAGCGGUGAAAUGCGUAGAGAUCGGGAGGAAUACCAGUGGCGAAGGCGGCCUUCUGGACUGACACUGACACUGAGGUGCGAAAGCGUGGGUAGCAAACAGGAUUAGUACCCUGGUAGUC